rnacentral:rRNA from 1 species
CCUACGGGUGGCAGCAGUGAGGAAUAUUGGUCAAUGGUCGGGAGACUGAACCAGCCAAGCCGCGUGAGGGAUGAAGGUACAGAGUAUCGUAAACCUCUUUUGUCAGGGAACAAAGGCGGGGACGCGUCCCCGGAUGAGUGUACCCGAAGAAAAAGCAUCGGCUAACUCCGUGCCAGCAGCCGCGGUAAUACGGGGGAUGCGAGCGUUAUCGGGUUUUAUUGGGGUUAACGGGUGCGCAGGCGGUAUGUUAAGUCAGCGGUCAAAGCACGGGGCUCAACCCCGGCCAGCCGUUGAAACUGGGAGGAUCGAGUUGGAGAGAAGUAUGCGGAAGGCGCGGUGUAGCGGUGAAAUGCAUAGAUAUCGCGCAGAACUCCGAUUGCGAAGGCAGCAUGCCGGCUCCACACUGACGCUGAGGCACGAAAGCGUGGGUAUCGAACAGGAUUAGAUACCCGAGUAGUC